AAUUUUGGACAAUGGGGGAAAACCUGAUCCAGCCAUCCCGCGUGUAUGAUGAAGGCCUUCGGGUUGUAUAGUACUUUUGUCUGAGGAGAAAAGGUAUCUCCUAAUACGAGAUACUGCUGACGGUAUCUGCAGGAUAAGCACCGGCUAACAACGUGCCAGCAGCCGCGGUAAUACGGAGGUAGCAAGCGUUAAUCGGAAUUACUGGGCGUAAAGCGUGUGUAGGCGGUUCGGAAAGAAAGAUGUGAAAUCCCAGGGCUCAACCUUGGAACUGCAUUUUUAACUGCCGAGCUAGAGUAUGUCAGAGGGGGGUAGAAUUCCACGUGUAGCAGUGAAAUGCGUAGAUAUGUGGAGGAAUACCGAUGGCGAAGGCAGCCCCCUGGGAUAAUACUGACGCUCAGGCACGAAAGCGUGGGGAGCAAACA
rnacentral:rRNA from 1 species